CCUACGGGUGGCAGCAGUGAGGAAUAUUGGUCAAUGGGCUUACGCCUGAACCAGCCAAGUCGCGUGAGGGAAGACUGCCCUAUGGGUUGUAAACCUCUUUUGUCAGGGAGCAACGCCGGCUACGUGUAGCCGGACUGAGAGUACCUGAAGACAAAGCAUCGGCUAACUCCGUGCCAGCAGCCGCGGUAAUCCGGAGGAUGCGAGUGUUAUCCGGAUUUAUUGGGUUUAAGGGGUGCGUAGGCGGAAUGCCAAGUCAGCGGUAAAAGCGCGGGGCUCAACCUCGGUCCGCCGUUGAAACUGGCGUUCUUGAGUGGGCGAGAGGUAUGCGGAAUGCGUGGUGUAGCGGUGAAAUGCUUAGAUAUCACGAAGAACCCCGAGUGCGAAGGCAGCUUACUAAACUGUGACUGACAUUGAUGCUCGAAAGUGUGGGUAUCAAACAGGAUUAGAUACCCUGGUAGUC
rnacentral:rRNA from 1 species